rnacentral:lncRNA from 1 species
AAAGUUGCUGCACCACCACUAGGAAAACCGUUAUUGCUGCCAGCAGUGCCACCAUCUUUGAUCUCUCUGCCUUGUGUAACUAAUCGAUUCUCUUCUUCCAUUACAUUCACAAAAAAUGCCCAAACUUUCUCUCUAGAACUCUAAAUUUCAACAAAGUCUAUCAUAAGCUUUCUCCUCUCCUAAAUUUUUUAAGAAUUAAAAAAAUCCCG